ACAGCGUGGAGGCUGCUUAGGAUUCUGUCUCCCUCUUUCUCUGCCCCUCCCCUGCUUGUGCUCGCUCGCUGUCUCAAAAUAAAUAAAAAGCCAUUAAAAAAAAUAAACAAAAUAGAUCCUGAAUCUGUUCACCUCCUUCUAUCUCCUUGUCAAAGUAACCACCUCGUCAGAGUAGGUGUUAUGUCUCACCUGGACUCUUAAAAGAGACUUCUAAUUUAAUAGCCCCCCCUGCUUCCAUUCUUGCCAAAUUUCAAAUUCACAAUUAAAAUAAAUCAUUUCAUUCCCAUUUAACAUUAUCUAAUGGCUUCAAAUGCCCUUAGAAUAAAGUCCAAAGUCCCUACCUCUGAAUUACAGUUCUGUGUGAUCUAACUCCUGCCUUCUUUGUGACUUCAUCCCUUGGCUUUCUCUACCUCACAUGCCGUGCCCAACCAAACAUGUUUCUACCUCAAGACCUUUGUACAGUAGUUGUUGCUCUUCUUGGAUCACUCAUUCUUUAGAUCUUCUGGUUACUUAGAGGAAAUGCCACUUCCUCGAGGGAGACCUUCCUGCCCAUCCAUCUAAAGGUGUGCCUUUAUCUUCAUGACCCAGUAUGGCCGGCUGCUAGAGCUCGGACAGCCUGUUCUGGGAAGCAGGAUGGAGGACUGGCUGGAAAAAGAAGAGGACACAAGAGAGAGACAGAGCAUGAACGGGGGAGGGGCAGAGAGAGAGGGAGACACAGAAUCAGAAAC